AACGAACGCUGGCGGCAUGCCUAACACAUGCAAGUCGAACGAUGCCUUCGGGCAUAGUGGCGCACGGGUGCGUAACGCGUGGGAAUCUGCCCUUGGGUUCGGAAUAACUCAGAGAAAUUUGAGCUAAAUACCGGAUGAUGACGUAAGUCCAAAGAUUUAUCGCCCAAGGAUGAGCCCGCGUAAGAUUAGCUAGUUGGUGGGGUAAAGGCCUACCAAGGCGACGAUCUUUAGCUGGUCUGAGAGGAUGAUCAGCCACACUGGGACUGAGACACGGCCCCAGACUCCUACGGGAGGCAGCAGUGGGGAAUAUUGGACAAUGGGCGAAAGCCUGAUCCAGCAAUGCCGCGUGAGUGAUGAAGGCCUUAGGGUUGUAAAGCUCUUUUACCAGGGAUGAUAAUGACAGUACCUGGAGAAUAAGCUCCGGCUAACUCCGUGCCAGCAGCCGCGGUAAU
rnacentral:rRNA from 1 species